rnacentral:piRNA from 1 species
UGUAUACAUAAUAAAUAAAAUUUUU